GAACGAAAAUCCGUUGGUUUCACGGGACCGUGAGGGUUCGAAUCCCUCUAUCCCCAGC
rnacentral:tRNA from 1 species